UACGAAGGGUGCAGGCGUUACUCGGAAUUACUGGGCGUAAAGCGUGCGUAGGUGGUUUGUUAAGUCUGAUGUGAAAGCCCUGGGCUCAACCUGGGAACGGCAUUGGAAACUGGCUUACUAGAGUGCGGUAGAGGGGUGUGGAAUUCCCGGUGUAGCAGUGAAAUGCGUAGAUAUCGGGAGGAACAUCUGUGGCGAAGGCGACACCCUGGACCAGCACUGACACUGAGGCACGAAAGCGUGGGGAGCAAACAGG
rnacentral:rRNA from 1 species